GGGGGUGACCUGGCUUCGACGUGGGUGCUGAAGCCUGGAGUCGCAUGCCGAGUUCGCUCGCUGACUCGUAAAAAAGGCGGCAAAAUAGUAAUUGGCGAAGCCAACUACGCAAUGGCUGCUUAAUUUAAUUAAGUAGCCCGUUUCUCUAGGUUGCUCCUGCGGAUUUAGAGAAACGCCAUUUAGUGGGAUCGGCUCUCGUUGGCGGCUCAGCGACGGGGACUUAAAAAUACUGAGAAUAACUGGACGGUAGCUAGGCUCACAAAGAAGCCGUCUGGCGAAAAAUUAAGAGUGAGACACGCAUGUAGUGGCUUCGGUGGAUCACUUGCGGACGGGGGUUCGAUUCCCCCCACCUCCAA
rnacentral:tmRNA from 1 species